UAGGUUUGACAUGGACGUGGUACCCGGGGCGAAAGCUUUGGGGACCCGCAAGGGAGCGUUCACAGGUGCUGCAUGGCUGUCGUCAGCUCGUGUCGUGAGAUGUUCGGUUAAGUCCGGCAACGAGCGCAACCCUCGCCUCCAGUUACCAGCGAGUAAAGUCGGGGACUCUGGAGGGACUAACCCGUUAGGGUGGGAAGGUGGGGAUGACGUCAAGUCAGUAUGGCCCUUACAUCUAGGGCUGCACACGUGCUACAAUGCCUGGUACAAAAGGAACCAAGACCGCGAGGUGGAGGAAAUCCCUAAAGCCAGGCCCAGUUCAGAUUGGAGUCUGCAACUCGACUCCAUGAAGCCGGAAUCGCUAGUAAUGGAGAUCAGUACGUACCG
rnacentral:rRNA from 1 species